GUGAGGAAUAUUGGUCAAUGGGCGGGAGCCUGAACCAGCCAAGUCGCGUGAAGGAAGAAGGAUCUAUGGUUCGUAAACUUCUUUUGCAGGGGAAUAAAGUGCAGGACGUGUCCUGUUUUGUAUGUACCCUGAGAAUAAGGAUCGGCUAACUCCGUGCCAGCAGCCGCGGUAAUACGGAGGAUCCGAGCGUUAUCCGGAUUUAUUGGGUUUAAAGGGUGCGUAGGUGGUUUGAUAAGUCAGCGGUGAAAGUUUGCAGCUUAACUGUAAAAAUGCCGUUGAAACUGUCGGACUUGAGUGUAAAUGAGGUAGGCGGGAUGCGUGGUGUAGCGGUGAAAUGCAUAGAUAUCACGCAGAACUCCGAUUGCGAAGGCAGCUUACUAAGCUACAACUGACACUGAAGCACGAAAGCGUGGGGAUCAAACAGGAUUAGAAACCCGAGUAGUCC
rnacentral:rRNA from 1 species